CCUACGGGGGGCAGCAGUAGGGAAUCUUCCACAAUGGGCGCAAGCCUGAUGGAGCAACACCGCGUGAGUGAAGAAGGGUUUCGGCUCGUAAAGCUCUGUUGUUGGAGAAGAACGUGCGUGAGAGUAACUGUUCACGCAGUGACGGUAUCCACCCAGACAGUCACGGCUAACUACGUGCCAGCAGCCGCGGUAAUACGUAGGUGGCAAGCGUUAUCCGGAGUUAUUGGGCGUAAAGCGAGCGCAGGCGGUUGCUUAGGUCUGAUGUGAAAGCCUUCGACUUAACCGAAGAAGUGCAUCGGAAACCGGGCAACUUGAGUGCAGAAGAGGACAGUGGAACUCCAUGUGUAGCGGUGGAAUGCGUAGAUAUAUGGAAGAACACCAGUGGCGAAGGCGGCUGUCUGGUCUGCAACUGACGCUGAGGCUCGAAAGCAUGGGUAGCGAACAGGAUUAGAUACCCUUGUAGUC
rnacentral:rRNA from 1 species